AACGAACGCUGGCGGCAGGCCUAACACAUGCAAGUCGAACGCCCCGCAAGGGGAGUGGCAGACGGGUGGUUAACACGUGGGGACCUUCCCUAUAGUACGGAAUAGCCCAGGGAAACUUGGAGUAAUACCGUAUACGCCCGAAAGGGGAAAGAAUUUCGCUAUAGGAUGGGCCCGCGUAGGAUUAGCUAGUUGGUGAGGUAAUGGCUCACCAAGGCGACGAUCCUUAGCUGGUUAGAGAGAACGACCAGCCACACUGGGACUGAGACACGGCCCAGACUCCUACGGGAGGGAGCAGAGGGGGAUAUUGGAGAAUGGGCGCAAGGCUGAUCCAGCCAGGCCGCGUGAGUGAUGAAGGCCUUAGGGUUGUAAAGCGCUUUUGGCGGGGACGAUAAUGACGGUACCCGCAGAAUAAGUCCCGGCUAACUUCGUG
rnacentral:rRNA from 1 species